GACGAACGCUGGCGGCGUGCCUAAUACAUGCAAGUCGAACGCAGUGGGGACGGGGGAGUAACACGUGGGUAACCUCCCAUCAGAGGGGAUAACACUUGGAAACAGGUGCUAAACCGAUACUGAUGGAUGAACCCGCGGUGCAUUAGCUCGUUGGGGAGGUAACGGCUCACCAAGGCCACGAUGCAUAGCCGCCCUUGUAGGCUGUUCGCCCACACUGGGACUGAGACACGGCCCAGACUCCUACGGGAGGCAGCAGUCGGGACUCUUCGUCAAUGGACGAAAGUCUGACCGAGCAACUCCGCGUGAGUGAAGAUGGUUUUCGGAUCGUAAAACUCUGUUGUUAGAGAAGCGGUAUCUACCCAGAAAGCCACGGCUAACUACGUGCCAGCAGCCGCGGUAAUAC
rnacentral:rRNA from 1 species